CCCCUCUCAGGGUUGCACCUGGAGAGUUCCAAGUGCUCUUCCAGUCUCGACUAUGGGAGGGAGAAUCAGGCAGAAGUAUAUUCCUUUCAUUCCUAGCUUGGGCAGUGGCUAGGAAUUGGAAGGCAAUCUGCUACAAGU